rnacentral:rRNA from 1 species
GAUGAACGCUGGCGGCGUGCCUAAUACAUGCAAGUCGAGCGAACAGAUGAGGAGCUUGCUCCUCUGACGUUAGCGGCGGACGGGUGAGUAACACGUGGAUAACCUACCUAUAAGACUGGGAUAACUUCGGGACACCGGAGCUAAUACCGGAUAAUAUAUUGACCCGCAUGGUUCAAUAGUGAAAGACGGUUUUGCUGUCACUUAUAGAUGGAUUCGCGCCGCAUUAGCUAGUUGGUAAGGUAACGGCUUACCAAGGCAACGAUGCGUAGCCGACCUGAGAGGGUGAUCGGCCACACUGGAACUGAGACACGGUCCAGACUCCUACGGGAGGCAGCAGUAGGGAAUCGUCCGCAAUGGGCGAAAGCCUGACGGAGCAACGCCGCGUGAGUGAUGAAGGUCGUCGGAUCGUAAAACUCUGUUAUUAGGGAAGAACAAAUGUGUAAGUAACUAUGCACGUCUUGACGGUACCUAAUCAGAAAGCCACGGCUAACUACGUG